rnacentral:tmRNA from 1 species
GGGGCUGCACUGGUUUCGACGUGGGUUCGGAAUCGCAGCGGUGCAUGUCGAGCUGAAUGCGCUCGUAAAACAGAUUCAAACAAACUAACUGCAAACGACAGUAAGUACCUCAAAGCCGCUUAAUCGCGACUUUCCUCGCAACAGUCGGCCAAUGGGCUGGGCAGAGAGGGCCGGAGCAAUCUGACCUUCCGAGCUGCGAGGUAAAUUUCAUCGGCUGGUCUCGAUUCGGGUACCUUGGAUCGAGACGAGAAAAUAGGGUGCUGGCGUCCGGUGUAGCGUGCGACUGCGCGACACCGGAAGCGAGAUCCAAAUCAGACCGCUAAACAUGUAGAUCUGUGCGAAGAAGGCUUGCGGACGGGGGUUCAAAUCCCCCCAGCUCCACCA